rnacentral:rRNA from 1 species
AACGAACGCUGGCGGCAGGCCUAACACAUGCAAGUCGAGCGAGGACUUCGUUCCUAGCGGCGGACGGGUGUGUAACGCGUGGGAACGUGCCCUUUACUUCGGAAUAGCCCUGGGAAACUGGGAGUAAUACCGGAUGAGCCCUUUGGGGGCAAGAUUUAUCGUCGAAGGAUCGGCCCGCGUUGGAUUAGGUAGUUGGUGUGGUAAUGGCCUACCAAGCCGAGGUUCCAUAGCUGGGUUGAGAGGAUGGUCAGCCACACUGGGACUGGGACACGGCCCAGACUACUACGGGAAGCAGGAGUGGGGAAUCUUAGACAACGGGGGGAAUGCUGAACUAGCCAUGCCGGGUGAGCGAUGAAGGCGUUAGGGUUGUAAAGCUCUUUAAGCUGGGAAGAUAAUGACGGUACCAGAAGAAGAAGCCCCGGCUAACUCCGUG